GGUGGCCAGGGCCCUGCCGCAGUCGAUCAACGCAUGCUGCCGCAGUCGAAUACCAGCCACC
rfam:Pseudomonas monteilii strain TSDA-ARS-TSMARC-56711, complete genome.